rnacentral:rRNA from 1 species
UACGUAGGGUCCGAGCGUUGUCCGGAAUUAUUGGGUGUAAAGAGCUCGUAGGCGGUUUGUCGCGUCUGCUGUGAAAUCCCGAGGCUCAACCUCGGGCCUGCAGUGGGUACGGGCAGACUGGAGUGCGGUAGGGGAGAAUGGAAUUCCUGGUGUAGCGGUGGAAUGCGCAGAUAUCAGGAGGAACACCGGUGGCGAAGGCGGGUCUCUGGGCCGAUACUGACGCUGAGGAGCGAAAGCGUGGGGAGCGAACAGG